GUAAAAGUUAUGACGAAAGAAAGUAGCCCUGUAAGGCAUGCGCAGAGAGCCGUUGGUUGGUGUAAAACGGCAGUGAUUACAGUGUGAAGUUCCUUUCCGAACUGCAAGGCUGAAUUAAGUAGGCUGCGCCGGCGUGGUUGUCGUUAGAAGAACUAUGAGUUGGUCGAUUCGAGAUAAUGAGGGUGGUACCGCGGAUAUUCCGUCCCUUGG
rnacentral:ncRNA from 1 species